rnacentral:rRNA from 1 species
GGCUUCCGUGACCCCGGUCUAGCACCGGGAUGUUCAUAACCCUUUGUUGUCCGACUCUGUUGCCUCCGGGGCGACCCUGCCUUCGGGCGGGGGCUCCGGGUGGACACUUCAAACUCUUGCGUAACUUUGCAGUCUGAGUAAACUUAAUUAAUAAAUUAAAACUUUUAACAACGGAUCUCUUGGUUCUGGCAUCGAUGAAGAACGCAGCGAAAUGCGAUAAGUAAUGUGAAUUGCAGAAUUCAGUGAAUCAUCGAAUCUUUGAACGCACAUUGCGCCCCCUGGUAUUCCGGGGGGCAUGCCUGUUCGAGCGUCAUUUCACCACUCAAGCCUCGCUUGGUAUUGGGCAACGCGGUCCGCCGCGUGCCUCAAAUCGACCGGCUGGGUCUUCUGUCCCCUAAGCGUUGUGGAAACUAUUCGCUAAAGGGUGCUCGGGAGGCUACGCCGUAAAACAAACCCAUUUCUAAGGUUGACCUCGGAUCAGGUAGGGAUACCCGCUGAACUUAAGCAUAUCAUAAAGGCGGAGGAA